rnacentral:rRNA from 1 species
GGGCUCACACAAGCGGUGGAGCAUGUGGCUCAAUUCGAGGCAACGCGAAGAACCUUAUCCUGGGCUUGACAUGGUCGGAUUAGUUCCGUGAAAGCGGAAUGACGCCUUCGGGUGGAACGAUCACAGGUGCUGCAUGGCUGUCGUCAGCUCGUGUCGUGAGAUGUCGGGUUUAGUCCUUCAACGAGCGAAACCCCUGUCUCUAGUUGCCAGCAUUCAGUUGGGGACUCUAGAGAGACCGCCGGUGUUAAACCGGAGGAAGGCGGGGACGACGUCAAGUCAUCACGGCCUUUAUGCCCAGGGCUGCACACGUGCUACAAUGGGGCGGACAAAGGGACGCGAACGCGCGAGCGGGAGCAAAUCUCAAAAACCGCCCCCCAGUUCAGAUUGCAGGCUGCAAUUCGCCUGCAUGAAGCCGGAAUCGCUAGUAAUCGCAGAUCAGCUAUGCUGCGGUGAAUGUGUUCCUGAGCCUU